rnacentral:rRNA from 1 species
GAUGAACGCUAGCGGCAGGCUUAAUACAUGCAAGUCGAGGGGUAGCAAGAUUGUAGCAAUACAAUUGUUGACGACCGGCAAACGGGUGCGGAACACGUACACAACCUUCCUACAAGUGGGGAAUAGCCCAGAGAAAUUUGGAUUAAUACCCCGUAACAUAGCGAUGUGGCAUCACAUUGCUAUUAUAGCUUCGGCGCUUGUUGAUGGGUGUGCGGCUGAUUAGAUAGUUGGCGGGGUAACGGACAACCAAGUCUACGAUCAGUAGCUGAUGUGAGAGCAUGAUCAGCCACACGGGAACUGAGACACGGGCCCGACUCCUACGGGAGGCAGCAGUAAGGAAUAUUGGACAAUGGACGCAAGUCUGAUCCAGCCAUGCCGCGUGAAGGAUUAAGGUCCUCUGGAUUGUAAACUUCUUUUAUAAGGGACGAAAAAAGGUCUUUCUAGAUCGUCUGACGGUACCUUAUGAAUAAGCACCGGCUAACUCCGUGCCAGCAGCCGCCGUAACAC